rnacentral:rRNA from 1 species
UGGUGGAGUGAUUUGUCUGGUUAAUUCCGUUAACGAACGAGACCUUAACCUAUUAAAUAGUUGCUUGAACACAUGAAUAUUUUAUUCUUUGUUUGAUUAACUUCUUAGAGGGACUCUUCACUGAGAGAGUGAAUGGAAGUUUGAGGCAAAAACA